UACGUAGGGUGCAAGCGUUAAUCGGAAUUACUGGGCGUAAAGCGUGCGCAGGCGGUUGUGCAAGACAGAUGUGAAAUCCCCGGGCUUAACCUGGGAACUGCGUUUGAAACUACAAGGCUAGAGUGUGACAGAGGGGGGGUGGAAUUCCACGUGUAGCAGUGAAAUGCGUAGAGAUGUGGAGGAACACCGAUGGCGAAGGCAGCCCCCUGGGUUAACACUGACGCUCAGGCACGAAAGCGUGGGGAGCAAACAGG
rnacentral:rRNA from 1 species